rnacentral:antisense_RNA from 1 species
CCGGCGUACUGGAACCUCUCUCGCGAUCCCGCACCCAGCUUGAAUUCAGCGAGAAUCGAAAACAGUCCAACAACCGUCGUAUCUACAGCGAUCCUUAGAGAACAAUUAAGGCCAGUUGACAGUAAAGAACAGUCAGUGUGUACUUGAAGUCCACGCUGAGACAGCAUCAAUCUUCUGGCAGCUGCAAGACUGACCUAUCAACCGAGGCAUUUCUUCAUUCCCUGCCAUUGUCUCCUCCUCUUGAGAUCGCCAUCAGGCACAGUCACUUUUCUACAAACAGGCAAUAGGACUCCCGCUGCCACCCUGCCCAGAUUUUAGUCCUCUACUGCUGAUAAAGUGAGCAAAGAUACGUGGCACUUCCUGAACCCAAAUACUCUUCUGAGCUGAUUCUAAAUCCAAACAGAAUCAACCUACCUCCUAUUACCUCCUUCCAAGCUCAUUUCAGUCUCAGCUCCAGACAUCAGUGAAUUCAAUGUGAUACAUCAGGGGACAUCACAGGACUUCCCUACUUGAAAAUCAAGCAAUCAUGUCCCUGAAACACUCUGUCUUUAUUCAUGCUCAGUUACCAUAAAGUAGAUGCAACUCUAAGAACCUAUGGAUUUUUUUAUUGCCACUAAUAGAUCAUGAUUUACAGCAAAAUUUUAAAAGGUCCAAUUUUACUCACAUAAGAAGAAGAAAACAUUCAGCAAGAAGCAUUUCUUUUGCUUUAUCUUUCCCAGUUAAAUAUGACUUUAAAAAAGACAAAAUUUUAAAAGGUCCAAUUUUACUCACAUAAGAAACAAGAAGAAAAUAUUCAGCAAGAAGCAUUUCUUUUGCUUUAUCUUUCCCAGUUAAAUAUGACUUUGAAAAAGAAGAGCACGCCUCAUUAGCCGUAAUUGUCUGAUUAAUACAAAGAAAUGGAUUCAUAUCACAGGGUUCCACUACCCCUAUGGUAGUGUUUACUAUCCUUAUUUCACUCAAUAAUUACAGUUACUUUAACCAGAAUGCCUGCCUUCUUUGGCAUUUUGGGAGAGGAAGCAUAUGACUGUAAACCCUCUUCAAACUUUCAGACUUACGUUUGCUUCUUCUAAGUCCAUCGACUUUAUACAUAAAUGACUUCUUUUUAAAAAUAAAUAAAUAAAUAAAUAAAUAAAUAAAUAAAUAAAUAAA